CUGCCACGCUAUCUUCUCCAGGGAAGCCCUGAGCAUUUCACUUGAGCAUCUCAACUUUUAUACUGGUUUAGCAGACACACAGGGGAGAUGGCUAUGUGAAGACAGAUUGGAGCGACACACUACAAGCCAAGGAACGCUACGGAUUGCCGGCAACACCCGGAAGCUAGAAGGAGGUGAGGAAAGAUUCCCCCGCUAGAGCCUUCAGGGAGAGCAUAGCUCUGCCGACACCUUGACUUCACACUUCUAGCCUCCAGAAGUGUGACUGGGGAGCAGAAAACCUGGAGAUGGCCAUGCCCAGAGACCCACCUGGAAGAUUUCACAAGCAUGGUUCUCCGUGAUCAGUAUCAGUGGCAGCACUCACACUGGUCAGUGGGUUAACUGUCCUCUAUACGUGUCUCCCGCAUCUGCCAGCACCGGGGCGCAGAGACCAAGAUGAGCUCAUCUUUUGAAUGCGGACUGCCUUAAAAGAGUCCACACUAUCCAACACACAAUGGAGUCAGAGAUAGAAUACCACUGAAAGUAGAAAUCCAGAGAAUCAUUUGAUUUUUGUCACUGAAAAGUGAACUUGUCAGCCAUUAUUCACUUC